CCUACGGGAGGCAGCAGUAGGGAAUCUUCCACAAUGGGCGAAAGCCUGAUGGAGCAACGCCGCGUGGGUGAAGAAGGUCUUCGGAUCGUAAAACCCUGUUGUUAGAGAAGAAAGUGCGUGAGAGUAACUGUUCACGUUUCGACGGUAUCUAACCAGAAAGCCACGGCUAACUACGUGCCAGCAGCCGCGGUAAUACGUAGGUGGCAAGCGUUAUCCGGAUUUAUUGGGCGUAAAGGGAACGCAGGCGGUCUUGUAAGUCUGAUGUGAAAGCCUUCGGCUUAACCGGAGUAGGGCAUUGGAAACUGGGAGACGUGAGUGCAGAAGAGGAGAGUGGAACUCCAUGUGAAGCGGUGAAAUGCGUAGAUAUAUGGAAGAACACCAGUGGCGAAAGCGGCUCUCUGGUCUGUAACUGACGCUGAGGUUCGAAAGCGUGGGUAGCAAACAGGAUUAGAUACCCCAGUAGUC
rnacentral:rRNA from 1 species